GACGAGCGCUGGCGGCGUGCCUAAUACAUGCAAGUUGAGCGCUGAAGGUUGGUACUUGUACCAACUGGAUGAGCAGCGAACGGGUGAGUAACGCGUGGGGAAUCUGCCUUUGAGCGGGGGACAACAUUUGGAAACGAAUGCUAAUACCGCAUAAAAACUUUAAACACAAGUUUUAAGUUUGAAAGAUGCAAUUGCAUCACUCAAAGAUGAUCCCGCGUUGUAUUAGCUAGUUGGUGAGGUAAAGGCUCACCAAGGCGAUGAUACAUAGCCGACCUGAGAGGGUGAUCGGCCACAUUGGGACUGAGACACGGCCCAAACUCCUACGGGAGGCAGCAGUAGGGAAUCUUCGGCAAUGGACGAAAGUCUGACCGAGCAACGCCGCGGGAGUGAAGAAGGUUUUCGGAUCGUAAAACUCUGUUGGUAGAGAAGAACGUUGGUGAGAGUGGAAAGCUCAUCAAGUGACGGUAACUACCCAGAAAGGGACGGCUAACUACGUG
rnacentral:rRNA from 1 species